rnacentral:misc_RNA from 1 species
AUUGUAUUCUCGAAACGUGAGGGAAAGAAAGCACCGAUGCUAAGUAUAUACUGGGAAGGCACAGGCACUGGCCUGAAGUGGAAGAAACUAAAUCAUAGCGUCCAAGAAAGCACUUGCAAUUACUGAAAUGGCGUUCAUGGCAAAUCAUGGCAUUCCUGAAGAUGGGAGACGUGAAAUGACCGUCGAGGAGCUCCAACGGUGGCUGAAGUCAUUUGAGACUGACAAAGAUGGCCGGAAAAGCAAAGAAAGAGCUCGCGGAUGCUAUCUGAGCCAAUGGAGGAUGGCUUGCAAGAUGGAAAGGUAAGAGAGGAUUACAGUCUGCAGAUUCCAAUGCCAAUGGAUUGUUGAUGAGAGUGAAAUCAAUAAUCAUGUAGAGCUUGCACAAGA